GGUAUUAUACUUUAUAUUAGAAGGUAUGAUUUGCACUCAUAAAGAAAGAUUUUUUUCUUUAAUACCA
rnacentral:tRNA from 1 species